rnacentral:rRNA from 1 species
UACGUAGGGGGCAAGCGUUGUCCGGAAUCAUUGGGCGUAAAGCGCGUGUAGGCGGUUCGAUUAGUCUGCUGUGAAAGUCGGGGGCUCAACCCUCGAAUGCCGGUGGAUACUGUCGGGCUAGAGUGCGGAAGAGGCGAGUGGAAUUCCUGGUGUAGCGGUGAAAUGCGCAGAUAUCAGGAGGAACACCUAUGGCGAAGGCAGCUCGCUGGGACGUUACUGACGCUGAGACGCGAAAGCGUGGGGAGCAAACAGG